rnacentral:misc_RNA from 1 species
AAGUCGUAACAAGGUUUCCGUAGGUGAACCUGCGGAAGGAUCAUUACCAAAUAAUUUAUAAUUCAACCCAUGUGCACUGUGAAUGUAUUGUCCUGGUUUUUGGGGUGGGCUUAGGUUCACCCCAACCAUUUUGUUAAACUACUGUAUAUAUUUAUCAUGGCAUAUCUUAAAUUGUCUUAAUAAAUAUUAUGACAACUUUUAACGGUGGAUCUCUUGGCUCGUGGAUCGA